CCGGGGCUAGCUCAGUUGGUAGAGCGAUUGACUGUAGAUCAAUUGGUCACUGGUUCGAUUCCGGUGCCCCGGA
rnacentral:tRNA from 1 species